GCAGCUAACGCAUUAAGCACUCCGCCUGGGGAGUACGACCGCAAGGUUGAAACUCAAAGGAAUUGACGGGGGCCCGCACAAGCGGUGGAGCAUGUGGUUUAAUUCGAAGCAACGCGAAGAACCUUACCAGGUCUUGACAUCCUUUGACCACUCUAGAGAUAGAGCUUCCCCUUCGGGGGCAAAGUGACAGGUGGUGCAUGGUUGUCGUCAGCUCGUGUCGUGAGAUGUUGGGUUAAGUCCCGCAACGAGCGCAACCCUUAUUGUUAGUUGCCAUCAUUNAGUUGGGCACUCUAGCAAGACUGCCGGUGACAAACCGGAGGAAGGUGGGGAUGACGUCAAAUCAUCAUGCCCCUUAUGACCUGGGCUACACACGUGCUACAAUGGGAAGUACAACGAGUUGCGAAGUCGCGAGGCUAAGCUAAUCUCUUAAAGCUUCUCUCAGUUCGGAUUGCAGGCUGCAACUCGCCUGCAUGAAGCCGGAAUCGCUGUAU
rnacentral:rRNA from 1 species